rnacentral:rRNA from 1 species
GACGAACGCUGGCGGCGUGCCUAAUACAUGCAAGUCGAGCGAACAGACGAGGAGCUUGCUCCUCUGACGUUAGCGGCGGACGGGUGAGUAACACGUGGAUAACCUACCUAUAAGACUGGGAUAACCUCGGGAAACCGGCGCUAAUACCGGAUAAUAUAUUGAACCGCAUUGGUCAAUAGUGAGAUACGGUUUUGCUGUCACUUAUAGCUGGAUCCGCGCCGCAUUAGCUAGUUGGUAAGGUAACGGCCUACCAAGGCAAUGAUGCGUAGCCGACCUGAGAGGGGGAUCGCCCACACUGGAACUGAGACACGGUCCAGACUCCUACGGGAGGCAGCAGUAGGGAAUCGUCCGCAAUGGGCGAAAGUCUUACGGAGCAACGCCGCGUGAGUGAUGAAGGUCUUCGGAUCGUAAAACUCUGUUAUUAGGGAAGAACAAAUGUGUAAGUAACUAUGCACGUCUUGACGGUACCUAAUCAGAAAGCCACGGCUAACUACGUG